GCAUAUCAAUAAGCGGAGGAAAAGAAACUAACAAGGAUUCCCCUAGUAACUGCGAGUGAAGCGGGAAAAGCUCAAAUUUAAAAUCUGGCGGUCUUUGGCCGUCCGAGUUGUAGUCUGGAGAAGCGUCUUCCGCGUUGGACCGUGUACAAGUCUCUUGGAACAGAGCGUCAUAGAGGGUGAGAAUCCCGUCUUUGACACGGACUACCAAUGCUUUGUGAUGCGCUCUCAAAGAGUCGCGUUGUUUGGGAAUGCAGCGCAAAAUGGGGGGUGAAUUCCUUCUAAAGCUAAAUAUUGGCGAGAGACCGAUAGCGAACAAGUACCGUGAGGGAAAGAUGAAAAGCACUUUGGAAAGAGAGUUAAACAGUACGUGAAAUUGCUAAAAGGGAAACGCUUGAAGUCAGUCGCGUCGUCCGGGACUCAGCUUUGCUUCGGCUUAGUGCACUUUCCGGUUGACGGGCCAGCAUCGAUUUUGACCGCUGGAAAAGGGCUGGAGGAAUGUGGCACCUUCGGGUGUGUUAUAGCCUUCAGUCGCAUACAGCGGUUGGGAUCGAGGAACGCAGCGCGCCUUAUGGCUGGGGUUCGCCCACAUUCGCGCUUAGGAUGCUGGCAUAAUGGCUUUAAACGACCCGUCUUGAAACACGGACC
rnacentral:rRNA from 1 species